rnacentral:rRNA from 1 species
AGGGAAUGUUCCACAAUGGACGCAAGUCUGAUGGAGCAACGCCGCGUGAGUGAAGAAGGGUUUCGGCUCGUAAAGCUCUGUUGUUAAAGAAGAACGUGGGUGAGAGUAACUGUUCACCCAGUGACGGUAUUUAACCAGAAAGCCACGGCUAACUACGUGCCAGCAGCCGCGGUAAUACGUAGGUGGCAAGCGUUGUCCGGAAUUAUUGGGCGUAAAGCGCGCGCAGGCGGUCCUUUAAGGCUGAUGUGAAAGCCCACGGCUCAACCGUGGAGGGUCAUUGGAAACUGGAGGACUUGAGUGCAGAAGAGGAAAGUGGAAUUCCAAGUGUAGCGGUGAAAUGCGUAGAGAUUUGGAGGAACACCAGUGGCGAAGGCGGCUGUCUGGUCUGUAACUGACGCUGAGGCUCGAAAGCAUGGGUAGCGAAC